AUCCUCAGAUUGUCCCAUCUCAGUAUCCCAUCAUAUUACCUAAACAUGCAUAAGAUAAGUAUAUUAUAAUGAAUAGUUGGAAUUGUGAUGGACAUUUACUCAACAUAUGCGCCAACCUCCUUGUAGCUUAGUAGAAUAUAUGCCUCUGCCUAUCAUAAUUCAAUAUCAGUUAAAACUCGAAGAACCUUAUGUCCAAAUUCACAAGUGAGAUAGGCAAAUAUUGAUAUCUCCCACUUUAAUCCCUCACCACCACCAUCAUUAUUUUGGCUUACUUGAGUCAGCUUUGUCUACACUAGGAUUAAAGUAAUAUCAGCUGAAGUUUAAAAUUUCUUCUAUUAUGUAAGCCUCCAUGAUAGAAUCUUCAACUCUGGCCUUGUUUUUCACUUUCUUCUUGAGACGUGCGUAUAUCUUUCAAAUGGAUACAUCCACCUGUACUAUACUGAUCCUCCACCCUA
rnacentral:lncRNA from 1 species